rnacentral:pre_miRNA from 1 species
AAUAAACCAACUUUUCACUUUUUAUCUACGAUUUUUGACUCUUCGUCUUAUUCAAAUUUUCUUUGCGAUUGAUAUUUUUGUUUUUAUUAGAUGAUAAAUCAUGAAUAGUAUUGUACAUGUGACUAUUUUUUUUCUAAUUUUCUAAAAAACUUUCAAAUAAGACGAAUGGUCAAACGUUGGACACAAAAAUAGGAGAAUUGAUA